GUAGGGAAUAUUGGGCAAUGGAUGGAAGUCUGACCCAGCCAUGCCGCGUGCCGGAUGAAGGCGCUCUGCGUUGUAAACGGCUUUUAUUCGGGAAGAAGAGUAGGGAUGCGUCCUUAUGUGACGGUACCGAAUGAAUAAGCACCGGCUAACUCCGUGCCAGCAGCCGCGGUAAUACGGAGGGUGCGAGCGUUGUCCGGAUGUAUUGGGUUUAAAGGGUGCGUAGGUGGCUUAAUAAGUCAGUGGUGAAAUACGGUUACUUAACAAUCGAGGUGGCAUUGUGAAGGUUAGGAUUGAAAUAAUUGGAGGCUGCCGGAAUGGAUGGUGUAGCGGUGAAAUGCAUAGAUAUCAUCCAGAACACCGAGUGCGAAGGCAGGUGGCUACGAUUUAUUUGACACUGAUGCACGAAAGCAUGGGGAGCAAACAGGAUUAGAAACCCGUGUAGUCC
rnacentral:rRNA from 1 species